rnacentral:rRNA from 1 species
AGCCAUGCUGCGUGCGUGAUGAGGGCCUAUGGGUUGUAAGCUGCUUUUGUACGGGAAAUAAUGACCUACCUGAAGGAGAUUGACCGUACCGUACCAAUAAGGAUCGGCUAACUCCAUGCCAGCAGCCGCGGUAAUACGGAGGAUCCGGGCGUUAUCCGGAAUCAUUGGGUUUAAAGGGUCCGUAGGCGGAUCCAUAAGUCAGUGGUGAAAUCUGCCAGCUUAACUGUCGAACUGCCAUUGAUACUGUUUAACUUGAAUUACUGGGAAGUAAGUGAAAUAUGUAGUGUAGCGGUGAAAUGCUUAUAUAUUACAUGGAAUACCAAUUGCGAAGGCACGUUACUACUGGUUUAUUGACGCUGAUGGACGAAAGCGUGGGGAUCGAACACGAUUACAUACACUGGUAGUCCACGCCGUAAACGAUGGAUACUAGCUGUUGGGAGUAAUUUCAGUGGCUAAGCCAAAGUGAUAAGUAUCCCCACCUGGGGGAGUACCAACGCGAGUUUGAAACUCUCAGGAAUUGACGGG